UACGAGGGGGCAAGCGUUGUUCGGAAUUAUUGGGCGUAAAGGGUGCGUAGGCGGUUUGACAAGUCUGAUGUGAAAUCUAUGGGCUCAACCCAUAGUCUGCAUCGGAAACUGUCGGGCUUGAGUGUGGGAGAGGUGAGUGGAAUUUCCGGUGUAGCGGUGAAAUGCGUAGAUAUCAGGAGGAACACCUGUGGCGAAAGCGGCUCACUGGACCAUAACUGACGCUGAUGCACGAAAGCUAGGGGAGCAAACAGG
rnacentral:rRNA from 1 species